rnacentral:rRNA from 1 species
CCCUUAGAUGUCCGGGGCCGCACGCGCGCUACACUGAAGGAAUCAGCGUGGCUUUCUCCCUGACCCGAAAGGGUUGGGAAACCCGUUGAAUCUCCUUCGUGAUAGGGAUUGGGGCUUGAAAUUGUUCCCCAUGAACGAGGAAUUCCCAGUAAGCGCGAGUCAUAAGCUCGCGUUGAUUACGUCCCUGCCCUUUGUACACACCGCCCGUCGCUACUACCGAUUGAACGGUUUAGUGAGGGCCUCGGAUUGGUCUCGGCCCGCUCUUUACCGGGCGGCGCCGUUGGUCGAGAAGACGCUCGAACUUGAUCGUUUAGAGGAAGUAAAUGUCGUAACA